AGAGUUUGAUCAUGGCUCAGACUGAACGCUGGCGGCAUGGCUAAAGCAUGCAAGUCGAACGAGCCCGCAAGGGCAAGUGGCGGACGGGUUAGUAAUACGAUCGAACGUACCCCGAAGUGGGGGAUAGCGGCGGGAAACUGCCGGUAAUACCCCAUGUGCUCUUCGGAGGAAAGAUUUAUCGCUUUGGGAUCGGCGAUCGUCCUAUCAGCUAGUUGGCGGGGUAAAGGCCCACCAAGGCGAAGACGGGUAGCAGGUGUGAGAGCACGACCUGCAACAUCGGAACUGAGAUACUGUCCGGACUCCUACGGGAGGCUGCAGCAACGAAUCUUCCGCAAUGGGCGCAAGCCUGACGGAGCAAUGCCGCGUGUGGGAUGAAGUGCCUCCGGCAUGUAAACCACUGUCAGAAGAUAGAAACACUGAUCAUCUUCAAAGGAAGUGGCGACUAACUCUGUGCCAGCAGUCGCGGUAAUACAGAGGCCACGAGCGUUAGUCGGAAUUACUGGGCUUAAAGGGUGCGUAGGCGGUUAUUCAAGCGUCCUGUGAAAGCCUCCCGCUCAACGGGAGAACAGCAGGGCGAACUGGGUGACUCGAGGUUGGUAGGGGCUCACAGAACAGUCGGUGGACCGGUGAAAUGGGUAGAGAUCGACUGGAAUGCCGAUGGCGAAGGCGGUGAGCUGGGCCAAAUCUGACGCUGAGGCACGAAAGCGUGGGGAGCAAACAGGAUUAGAUACCCUGGUAGUCC
rnacentral:rRNA from 1 species